rnacentral:rRNA from 1 species
CCCUUAGAUGUUCUGGGCCGCACGCGCGCUACACUGAUGCAUUCAACGAGUCCAACCUUGACCGAGAGGUCCGGGUAAUCUUUGAAACUGCAUCGUGAUGGGGCUAGAUUAUUGCAAUUAUUAAUCUUCAACGAGGAAUGCCUAGUAAGCGUGAUUCAUCAAAUCGCGUUGAUUACGUCCCUGCCCUUUGUACACACCGCCCGUCGCUCCUACCGAGGGGGUGAUCCGGUGAAUGAUUCGGACUUUGGCGUUUCUAGCUGCUAGCAGCGCUGAAGAAAGUUUUGUGAACCUUAUCACUUGGAGGAAGGAGAAGUCGUAACA